UUCUCUUUUUUAUUGUCUUCUAGUUAAUCACCCACCACCGUUAUGCUGACUGGUCUGGCCAAAGUAAAGACAGGAAACACAUUUCCAUUGACGUCAAAAUGCGAAUCUUUCCCACAAACUGUGGUUUUGUUGUGGGAUUCUCAAAGACCACCAUUAUUAGAGGUUUCGGAAGGGUGAUAUAUAGAAAAUAAAUAUAUAAAUAAUCGAUCCUGCAUCCAAGAGCCACAACAAAAGGCUUCCAUUAGAAAUAGAACAAGAUGAUGAAGGAAAACAAUGACGCCAUUUUCAAUUAAUGGUAAGAGCAAGAAGAGUUCACAUGGGAGGCUGAGGUCCCAAAGGACAACUGGGUGAAGCAUGCUGUGCUCAUCAAAUACCAAUAAAGGAAGGAACUUCAAAUCAAUAUGGUAUGUUAACUAGAUGAGCUGAGGAGAACAAGCCAAUCUGUUGUUUUGGCUCAGACUUUCGUCUUGAACAAAGUAAAAAAAAAAAAAAAAAAAGAAAGAAAAGUUAAAUCAUUUCCAACAACCAGUCCCAAGUUUUUUUUUGCCUGUGGUCUAUGCUGAAAUUUGUGUGCGGUCUACAGACAUCCACAGAGACUGUAAUCACAUUGUCUCCAAUUGACAGACUGGCUGAUAAGGAGUAUUACAAAAAAUAUAAUCUUCUUAUGUCUCAUGUCAAGUCCUGAGCGAGAAGGCUAAUAAGAAAAGAUUGACCUCUGUGUUGCUUUGCAAUCCCAUGUCCUCUCCUCAACUGCCUUUAUCUGACCGUCACACCUGGGCAAAUCAUCUUUCCAUCACUCAUCAUCUUGGCAUAUUUCUAGACACCUGUUGAGUCUGAUCAAGCCAGCUCAUCACAAGGGGUUUCAUUACAACCAAACUAUUUCAAGUCGAAUACUCCUCUUUGAUCACUGGACUUUUUUGUCUUAUGUCAGCACUCCAGAGAUGGUGAAAGGUACAUGCAAGGGGCCGUCAGGAGUGUUUUGUAGGAUUGAGGGAGAUGGAAAUGAGGAGAGCAGUGGAGCUGCAGUCACCAGUGCCGGAAGCCCACCCUUUAGCUAAGGCCACAGACUGCAUGUUUCAACAAUAGACAGUUAUUCGGUCAAAUGAUGUCCACAAACGCUGGAAAAUCUCAUCCAAAGAGACCACUCAGAGACCACUCCACAGAACAAAUCAGAGAUCAGAGAGGAAGGAAAUGAGUUUAAAAGGCAGAUUCAAAAAGAGGACGGUUUCAAAAAUAGCCAGGGGAGUCUGAUGGAAAAAUCAACAGAAGCGGUCUACCAGAACUCAUCUAGAUGUACAAUUAGUGCUUCAGCAGAGGUGAGAGAGGGUUGAGAAAUUCCAGUAAAAGGAACCUUGGUUUAAAUUACAAAAUGGUAUUUAAAAACAGAUAUAUACACUGAAAAAAGUUUUUCAUUCAUCCAAUUAAAAAAAAUUAGGGUAAUGAUUCACAUUUUAACUUAAAUAAAUAACUUGCCAUUUAGUUGAAAAAAUAUAGA
ensembl:lncRNA